rnacentral:tRNA from 1 species
UAAAAUCUAGUUUAAUAAAAAUAUUAAUUUGUCAAAUUAAAGUUAUAUAAAAUGAUUUUAA